UCGGUGACAGGUGGUGCAUGGUUGUCGUCAGCUCGUGUCGUGAGAUGUUGGGUUAAGUCCCGCAACGUAGCGCAACCCCUAUUGUUAGUUGCCAUCAUUCAGUUGGGCACUCUAGCGAGACUGCCGGUAAUAAACCGGAGGAAGGUGGGGAUGACGUCAAAUCAUCAUGCCCCUUAUGACCUGGGCUACACACGUGCUACAAUGGUUGGUACAACGAGUUGCGAGUCGGUGACGGCGAGCUAAUCUCUUAAAGCCAAUCUCAGUUCGGAUUGUGGGCUGCAACUCGCCUACAUGAAGUCGGAAUCGCUAGUAAUCGCGGAUCAGCACGCCGCGGUGAAUACGUUCCCGGGCCUU
rnacentral:rRNA from 1 species